GUCGCCUGGGGGUUAGCCACUGUGAGGUUAUGUAGAGGGUGCAUGGUCACCCGUGUUAGCCUUGCGGGAAGGUCUGAGACGUGCAGCAGCAGACUCUCGUGAUGAGAGGCCCCACUAACAGGGGUGCAGGCCAACAGACAAGGCUCUGAUGGUCACACCACACACCCGGCGAUCGGGAGUCAUUCUCGUGAGGGGGAGGUGUGUCGUCGGAAUGAGAUGGUCUGUGCUGAGCGCGUAAAGCGAGAUUGGCUGUCAAAACUUAAUUCAGACUACUACCUAGGCGGC
rfam:Schistosoma margrebowiei strain Zambia genome assembly, scaffold: SMRZ_contig0004156